rnacentral:rRNA from 1 species
UGGGGAAUAUUGCACAAUGGGCGCAAGCCUGAUGCAGCCAUGCCGCGUGUAUGAAGAAGGCCUUCGGGUUGUAAAGUACUUUCAGCGGGGAGGAAGGGAGUAAAAUUAAUACUUUUGCUCAUUGACGUUACCCGCAGAAGAAGCACCGGCUAACUCCGUGCCAGCAGCCGCGGUAAUACGGAGGGUGCAAGCGUUAAUCGGAAUUACUGGGCGUAAAGCGCACGCAGGCGGUCUGUUAAGUCAGAUGUGAAAUCCCCGGGCUCAACCUGGGAACUGCAUCUGAUACUGGCAGGCUUGAGUCUCGUAGAGGGGGGUAGAAUUCCAGGUGUAGCGGUGAAAUGCGUAGAGAUCUGGAGGAAUACCGGUGGCGAAGGCGGCCCCCUGGACGAAGACUGACGCUCAGGUGCGAAAGCGUGGGGAGCAAACAGG